rnacentral:rRNA from 1 species
AUGGAGAUGGAGGCGAAGAGCAACGGCGUGACCAAGUUGGUCAAGGAAGGAGGAGUUGGUCGGCAAGAGGGAGGGGAAUAUCUUGCAUGUAACGGCCUGACCACGUGGAUUGACAUCUUGGACUGCUCCAACCCUCUCAUCUCUCCCAUCUUGCAGCUGGAGGGGAACAGCUGCAGCAAUGGCAGCAAGAUCAAACAGGGAGGAGAAGGUCAGCAAGAGGGAGAGGAUAUCGUCAGGAAGCAGCAUGCCAUUGUCAUCAUGGGAACCGACGUCUUGGAUUGCCCCGUCUGCUCUGCCCCCCUGAGCCCUCCCAUUUUCCAGUGCUCACUCGGGCAUUUCGUCUGCUCGGCUUGCCAUGACAAGCUCCCUGGAACUGACAGGGCGUGCGGCGUGUGCUCCAGACCCGUCUUGGACCGCUGCCACGGUGUGGAGCGCAUUGUCGGCUCUGUCCUCGUGCCGUGCUCCUACGCUCUGCACGGAUGCACUACCGCAAUCCCGUACCACCGAAAGGGGGAACACGAGAAGGUGUGCCUGCACGCUCCAUGCUUCUGCCCAGAGAACGGUUGCGGCUUCGCUGGCACAACAGAGGUGCUCCUAGGCCACUUCACUGCCAAGCACGAUUGGCUAAUCACGGCGUUCAAAUACUACGAACCAUUCGAUGUGCCCGUGAAGGCGGGUGUGCACGUUCUCCAUGGCAACGGUGAAGAGGAAGACAAAGACAAUGAUAGUGACCUCUUCCUGCUCCACGUGGGGUACCCGGAUGCCCCGUUGCACAGUGUCUCACUGGUCCGGGUCCAGGCACACCCACAGGAGUACAGGGUCGGAUGCUCCGUGGGUUUCUCUUGGUUCAUGGGACAGUACCAAGCCGCGACACUGGACUUUAUCCGAAACUCGUCCCUGUCUAACGGGCUGCCGAAAUGUAGCUUUUGUAUUGUCCCCGAGGUUCGCCGUGGAGGCGGGGGGCCUGUCGUGCUCAGCGUCACCAUAGGUAUCGAUAUAGAGGAGGACGAAGAUGACAACAAGGAGCGCGACGAUGUCGACAGUCACGUCAAAGUGGGCGACUACAAGGAGGAGGAUGAGGCCGAUGGUCACAAAGCAGAUUAA